rnacentral:lncRNA from 1 species
UGGCUCAGCCAACUUCUGGCUUGAAGGUGGGAGAAAUGAUCCAUUAAGAGCAUCAUUUCGGUGGUUAUCACAUUUGCUCAGCUCCAGAGGCAGUUGAAUGUAGAGCAAAAACAAUACCCUGGACUCAGAUCUUCAGCUUCAGUUGGCCAAAAGCGUGCCUUGCAACCCAUCCGUUGGAUGAUUGUCAAAAACAAAAGCAAGAUCUUCAGCAAAAGUGCCUUUCGAUUAUGAGAUUCAAAGUGGAAAAUGUUGUCCAAUGUGGAACCACCAAAACACACAUCCCUCCCCACCACCACCACAACAACAACAUUUCCUCAUAUCACUUACUCCUACACCCACUAAUAGCCAACCUCAACAUAAAUUACGCUCCACCUUACAACAAAAAACCA